rnacentral:rRNA from 1 species
AUACGUAGGGUGCGAGCGUUGUCCGGAAUUACUGGGCGUAAAGAGCUCGUAGGUGGUUUGUCGCGUCGUCUGUGAAAUUCCGGGGCUUGACUCCGGGCGUGCAGGCGAUACGGGCAUAACUUGAGUACUGUAGGGGAGACUGGAAUUCCUGGUGUAGCGGUGAAAUGCGCAGAGAUCAGGAGGAACACCGGUGGCGAAGGCGGGUCUCUGGGCAGUAACUGACGCUGAGGAGCGAAAGCAUGGGUAGCGAACAGGAUUAGAUACCCUGGUAGUCCAUGCCGUAAACGGUGGGCGCUAGGUGUAGGGGUCUUCCACGACUUCUGUGCCGUAGCUAACGCAUUAAGCGCCCCGCCUGGGGAGUACGGCCGCAAGGCUAAAACUCAAAUGAAUUGGCGGGG